CAUAGGUUAAUGAGGCGAACCGGGGGAACUGAAACAUCUAAGUACCCCGAGGAAAAGAAAUCAACCGAGAUUCCCCCAGUAGCGGCGAGCGAACGGGGAGCAGCCCAGAGCCUGAAUCAGUGUGUGUGUUAGUGGAAGCGUCUGGAAAGGCGCGCGAUACAGGGUGACAGCCCCGUACACAAAAAUGCACAUACUGUGAGCUCGAUGAGUAGGGCGGGACACGUGGUAUCCUGUCUGAAUAUGGGGGGACCAUCCUCCAAGGCUAAAUACUCCUGACUGACCGAUAGUGAACCAGUACCGUGAGGGAAAGGCGAAAAGAACCCCGGCGAGGGGAGUGAAAAAGAACCUGAAACCGUGUACGUACAAGCAGUGGGAGCACGCUUAGGCGUGUGACUGCGUACCUUUUGUAUAAUGGGUCAGCGACUUAUAUUCUGUAGCAAGGUUAACCGAAUAGGGGAGCCGAAGGGAAACCGAGUCUUAACUGGGCGUUAAGUUGCAGGGUAUAGACCCGAAACCCGGUGAUCUAGCCAUGGGCAGGUUGAAGGUUGGGUAACACUAACUGGAGGACCGAACCGACUAAUGUUGAAAAAUUAGCGGAUGACUUGUGGCUGGGGGUGAAAGGCCAAUCAAACCGGGAGAUAGCUGGUUCUCCCCGAAAGCUAUUUAGGUAGCGCCUCGUGAAUUCAUCUCCGGGGGUAGAGCACUGUUUCGGCAAGGGGGUCAUCCCGACUUACCAACCCGAUGCAAACUGCGAAUACCGGAGAAUGUUAUCACGGGAGACACACGGCGGGUGCUAACGUCCGUCGUGAAGAGGGAAACAACCCAGACCGCCAGCUAAGGUCCCAAAGUCAUGGUUAAGUGGGAAACGAUGUGGGAAGGCCCAGACAGCCAGGAUGUUGGCUUAGAAGCAGCCAUCAUUUAAAGAAAGCGUAAUAGCUCACUGGUCGAGUCGGCCUGCGCGGAAGAUGUAACGGGGCUAAACCAUGCACCGAAGCUGCGGCAGCGACGCUGAUGCGUUGUUGGGUAGGGGAGCGUUCUGUAAGCCUGUGAAGGUGUGCUGUGAGGCAUGCUGGAGGUAUCAGAAGUGCGAAUGCUGACAUAAGUAACGAUAAAGCGGGUGAAAAGCCCGCUCGCCGGAAGACCAAGGGUUCCUGUCCAACGUUAAUCGGGGCAGGGUGAGUCGACCCCUAAGGCGAGGCCGAAAGGCGUAGUCGAUGGGAAACAGGUUAAUAUUCCUGUACUUGGUGUUACUGCGAAGGGGGGACGGAGAAGGCUAUGUUGGCCGGGCGACGGUUGUCCCGGUUUAAGCGUGUAGGCU
rnacentral:rRNA from 1 species